UGGCUCAGAUUGAACGCUGGCGGCAUGCCUAACACAUGCAAGUCGAACGGCAGCAUGAGGUGUAGCAAAUACACCUUGAUGGCGAGUGGCGGACGGGUGAGGAAUGCAUCGGAAUCUGCCCAGUCGUGGGGGACAACGCAGGGAAACUUGCGCUAAUACCGCAUACGACCUUCGGGUGAAAGCAGGGGAUCUUCGGACCUUGCGCGAUUGGAUGAGCCGAUGCCGGAUUAGCUUGUUGGCGGGGUAACGGCCCACCAAGGCGACGAUCCGUAGCUGGUCUGAGAGGAUGAUCAGCCACAUUGGGACUGAGACACGGCCCAAACUCCUACGGGAGGCAGCAGUGGGGAAUAUUGGACAAUGGGGGCAACCCUGAUCCAGCAAUGCCGCGUGUGUGAAGAAGGCCUUCGGGUUGUAAAGCACUUUUUAUCGGGAACGAAACAUUGUCGGCCAAUACCCGGCAAGACUGACGGUACCCGAGGAAUAAGCACCGGGCUAACUCCGUGCCCAGCAGCCGCGGUAA
rnacentral:rRNA from 1 species